ensembl:snoRNA
CUUCCCAUUUAUUUGCUGCCCUAGUCUCUCAGUUAUACACAUGAGAUAAAACAAUAUUGAGCCAUUGUAAAUGAAGAUGAAGUGUUUCGUCUCUUCUGCAUGAUCUAGACAUUG